rnacentral:lncRNA from 1 species
CUCGUCUUAGGCCCAAAACGUUCAAAAAAAUUUAUGGCACGAGCCAACUAAUAUGUCCUUAUCCUCAGCAACUUCUCUGCUUGUGAUUCGAAGGUUUUCAAAAAAAAAAUUCUCCACUGCUUCAACGUUUUCAUCUGUUGUUGAUGUGCUUGGGCGACCAGAGCGAGGUUCGUAAUUGGCAUCUCUUGGACAUCUUGGAAGGGCUUGUACAACUUGUAAACAUUUUUCUCUCACAACAGUUUCACUGUGUCCCAUUGUCAACAUUUCAAGUGUUUUGGAGCACUUAAUUUCAUUUUUUAUACAAAAUUUGAUGCAAAUUCUUUGAUCCAUGUUUUUCAAUAGCAAAAAAAAAGGCCGAACACGCCAAAUAAUCCUAACCGUUAUGCCUCUCACAAACAAACUAAAAUUAUUAUACACCUGAAACUGUAAAUUUAUGUUGAUGGGGAGUAUACUAAGAUAAACAAAUGACCAUACCAAAUGUACGUUGCUUGCGAAAUUUUGAAAAAUCACCUUACUUUUUGAACACACCUCGUACAUAUGAGUAAAAAAAAAAUUAGGACUAUCUCCUUUUCAGGAUUUUUGUUCAAAAUUGUCUUUAUCCUGACAGUAUCUGCAAUAAUCUGCUUUACUGCAAUCGAAAAGUUGCAAUAGCGCAGAAACUUAUUUUUGUUCCUUUCUCAUUGUUUCUAUCAAAAGAUAUGAAACAUAUUCAUAACAAUCUUCCUUCCAUCUCGCAACCUUUCCUCCAAAUAAACAUAAAAUAAAACAUGAAAUGAUAGAUGUUUAUUAUAUUUAAGAAGAAAGAUCUUAUUCCACUUUGAUGUACAAACAUUUUGUAUUUCGAGUUCCACUGAGAUAUUAUGAGCAAACGUAAUACCUGGUAUUACUGUUUAUGUACCUAGAUGUUAGAUACUAUACGUAAUAUUAAAACUGUUUUUCUUGUUUACUUUGAUAGAGAUGAAUCAUCUAAUCCUUCAUAAAAGGAAGGCACUGCCCUGUAUUUCUAAAUCGUUCAUUUGAAUUAAAAAAUCCGGAAAUUAAACGCUCAUUACGUAAUUUUUUCAUAAUAUUGAUCUGUUCUUUCCUAGAAGCAACAAAAUGUAUUAUCAUUAUAUCUAUGAAACCUUUUCUUCCAAAAAGACAAGUAAAACUUAUAAACAAUAAAGAACGAACAAAAUAAAAACAAUAUAUCAUCCUAUAGGUGGUGUUGUUUAUUAUUGCAUCUGCAGCAAGAUAUACCAUUUUUUACAGCUUGUGUAUUCCAAGGAGAAAUUUCUUGGAUUGGAAAUUUGCCUCAGAUUUGGUGCAAUAUUUUCCUUCUUGGUCGGUUAGAUAUUAUCAUAAACUUAAGGCUAUAAUUGAUAGAUUGCCGGAAAAUUAAAGGUCGUUUAGGCCACCAAAAUGGCAGACAUCAACAAUACUGACAUGAUGAGAAAACACUCAAAGUGUGCGCGUCUAAAACUGAACACUCCGUUAAAUUUUAC